rnacentral:rRNA from 1 species
UCUCUCUGAAUCUGCGUACGGCUCCGCAAACCAGUUGUACACUAUAGCAAGCAAGCUCAGGGCUGGCUCUCACGGGCUGGUCCUGGGCGAUAUGGAUAACCCUGGUAAUUCUGAGGCUAAUACAUGACCGUAGAACCUGGAGGACUGGCCUCGGCUGGGAAUCUGGGGGAUGUGCGACGUAUGCUUGGUGUUUCCGGGAAGGGGCGCAUGUUCAGACCACGCUAAAAAGGUCGGGUUCCUUCGGGAGCCUGUCCCAGUGGCUCUUGCUGUGUGCUUCUGACCUAUCAACUAGACGGCAGCCUAAUGGACAUGCUAUGGUGACAACGGGUACAGAGGAUUAGGGUUCGAUCCUGGAGAGUGGGCCUGAGAGAUG